rnacentral:rRNA from 1 species
UACGUAGGGUGCAAGCGUUAAUCGGAAUUACUGGGCGUAAAGCGUGCGCAGGCGGUUGUGCAAGACAGAUGUGAAAUCCCCGGGCUCAACCUGGGAAUGGCAUUUGGGACUGCAAGGCUUGAGUGCGGCAGAGGAGACUGGAAUUCCUGGUGUAGCAGUGAAAUGCGUAGAUAUCAGGAGGAAUACCGAUGGCGAAGGCAGGUCUCUGGGCUGACACUGACGCUCAUGCACGAAAGCGUGGGGAGCAAACAGG